GUCAUUACACUACGCUUUACACUGCGCUUGAGUUUGAACAUAGCAGGCACCUGCAUAACCUAAUUGCUCUCAAAAGCGCUCUGUCGCGAACACGUCAGGUUUAGCGCUAGGAGCGGUUUAGGAGGCGCCCUAGGUUUUGCCGUAAGAGAGCGUCAGCGAGGAGAGCCGCUGAAGCGGUGUCCUUGGGUGCAGGGGUAAUCGGCAUCGCCAGAAAACUAUAGCCUCUGGCGGGAAAGGGAGAUCCUGAAACACACGAGCAGUCAUUUGUCAGCGUCGAUUGGUCGGCGCGCACAGGCGCAAGGGAGCCGAGGAGCCGGGCGCAGCUGCGAUGGUGCUUGCGCGCGAACGUGUAGCAAACAGCCUCAGAGGGCCCCAGCCGGCGCGCUGAAGCCCAUUUCUUACAUGUCCAGAUUGACCUCCGGCAGCCGCUAGAGCCUAGGCGCCUUUUGACGCCCCUUGACCCCCCGCAGAGGCCGCAACGUACGCGCCGGGUUCCACUCAGCCGACGCGGCCGACGCCUCCUGCGCUGGCGCCGCGACUGGAGAAGAUGAAGCGCUUGCGGUAAGCCGGGCAGAACCCGCGCUGAUCUGGGCAGAACCCAGCGUCUAGCAACUCGGGCAGCACCCGCACGCUUUCGACAGGGUAGUACCCGCAUUACGACAGGGCAGUACCCGCAUUACGGCAGGGCAGUACCCUAGUUCGCGCCUAGCAGGCAGGCCCCUUGGGCAGAACCCAUCUGACCGGUUCUCGGGCAGCACCCGCACGCGUUCUUCGGCGCUUCCGCAUCGUCGUACGUACGAGGGCAGAACCCAAGACAGAGGCCGAGUCUCGGGCAGCACCCGCACACGCGACUUGGGGGGCAGCACCCCGCGUUCCGAUUGAGCAGCACCGUUCGCUCGUGUACAGCGGGCAAAUGUCUUCGGCAAUGCCGCAGCCAGGCCGCGCCCUCUUCCAGCCCACGCAUACAACUGACGGCACGUUCUGCCACCUCCCCCUUUUCCCUUGCAGGCCGAGGCAGUAGGGGUUGGGCAGGACUCAGGGGCCGCGCCUCACCAGCAGCCGCCGCUCGCAGCUGCCUUAGCAACGGAGGCUGGCCCCGACAUCAACGCCGCAGCAGCACCGCCGGCGAUGAUCCCGGGCCAAGGUGGCCUCAUCGAGCUUGCAGCAGACCAAGCGGGCCCGCUGCCCACCCAGCAGCCCUGGGCUUGCCGCCCAAGCCGGUUCGGCCGCAGCGCCAUCCGCUUCAGUCGUGGAGCCGCCCGCUCCGGCCGCGCACCCCUCGCCGCAGCGCCACUGGCGGCGCAGACCGGCCUGCGGCAGUACCUCCGCCCCAGCCAUAGCGCAGCCUGAGCCGAAGGCUGCGGCGCCUGCCUUUGCGGCCGCGCCCUGGUCUAGGAGGGCCUCCUGGCGGCGCCGCUCGGCUUCCCGCAAAGGUCCGCCCCGGCCGCAGGCCCAUACUGGCCGCCGCAGCAGCCCAAUCCCAGCAGCAGCAGCCGCAGCAGCAGCCACAGUUCUACCUGCACUCGCCGCCUAGGCCUGGCCUGCCGCGACGCGCUGACGCCGGUGCAUGGCAGGUCGCCCGCGCGCCAUAGGCAUCGCGCCUUCCCUGACCCUACGUCAGAGCUUGACCUAGAGCCUGGCCUUACUGCUGGACAACGCUGAGUUCCUGAGCAGCCUGCUACGGCAGCUUCACGCGCGAGGCUCGCUGCCACAACAGCUGACGAGUGCGGCAUCCACCACGGCGCUCGCGCAACAAGACACUGCCACCGCGCGUAGGUCAAAUCGGUACCCCGACGGAACACUCGUCACCCCUCGGAGGCCGCUGCUGCUACCCUGCCUGCCCGACGUUUGCAGCGCCUUCAGACUACUCUGGGCCACCCCGCGAACAGCUCGACGCGGCCUCCAUGCGCAACAGCCAGACCAUCAUGACCGCCACCGGAGAGGCCCGUGCUGGUGGGCGGCGGGCCGCUGGCCGCGCAAGGUUGCGUCCUGACUGGUGGGCAUUUAGCGCCCCCACGCCUUGGACUCGGCAAGCCGCCAGCACCAUCUCCUACCUGCACUGCGCGCGUGUCGGGCCGCAUCACGGCCAUUGAGCCCGCAGUGGCAUGCACGCCCCUCCACGCGCGUGUGGUUGGGCGGGCUGCAGCCGGCGUGACUAGAUGGGAGGAUGAGUGGGGACGCUGCCGGGUCGCUUCUGUUCCCGCUUCUGGAGCCCCAACACUUCAGGGGCGAAUGCGUUCGCGUAAGACUGAGCUCAGUGGGCGCAGGUCGGCGUGUUGUCGUCAAUGCGCCAUUUGAUGAGAUGGGAAGAGUAGUGCUGAAAGUGGAGGAUAAGCGGGUGAGCUGUGUUACCAUCGUGCCGGUGUGGCCAGUCGUGUGGGUGAGCAAACUCAGUCGGCUGCCGGAGCGGUUCAGGCGCUGUGUCAGGCAGGCAAGUGCCGGGCAGACAAGUGCCGGCCAACCCGCGGCCGGAAGCUCCGCACUAUGCGGUGGAGGCGGUGUACGUGAGGAGCGAAGGCAUUGCAGCGUUUCAGGAGUGGUACAUGGCCCGCUGAAUGUACGCUGAGAGCCGCCGGCGCGGUGUCGUUGGGUAUGCUGAACUGAAGCAUGCUGGGGCUGGUGGCGCGAGGAACGGUGAAGGCCACUCAAAGUUAGCUGAUACGGUGACGAGCAUUUGAGCUUCAGCACUCAAGGUGACUGGAAUGCUCGGCAAUGGGCAGUACGGUGGGAAAUGCCCAGAAGGCAUCCCCUGUCAAUAGCUGAAGCUUAAGCUUAUUGUCAUCACACUACGCUUUACACUGCGCUUGAGUUUGAACAUAGCAGGCACCUGCAUAACCUAAUUGCUCUCAAAAGCCUCCCCCCACCCGCCCUUUCAGUCCAACGUGCCGCCACCGAAUAGUUGCGAGGCGUGCCUCGUGUAGUCUGGCAUAUCUAGCCUCAAGCAAACCAAUCACAGACGCGCUACCGUACCGUCACCUCUUCAUCCCACUUCAAAGAAUGCGGAAGUUACAGAGGGGACAGUCCCAGCACGAAGACGCCGAGCCAUCAGAUGCUACCAGCGCCCAUCUUGACUCCACCAAUCCGACUUGGCUGCAACCCUCCCGCGGUCAAAGUCCGUGUUACUCCGCGCACAGUGAGUCCUAGCCAAGCCUCAACCCGCCAGAGCACCACCGCUGUGCCUCAACGCCACAAGCCUAGGCACCGGAGUGCCGGGAAUCGUCCAGGCCGCAGCACACACGCACAGCGCACGCACUAACCAGGGCGCAAGCGUCCAGGCACUAGAACGGUCGCCCACACGUGCGUCCUGCCCACACUUAAAGCCACCAACCACUCACAACCUCUCACGGCGAUGGAGGCGGGGAAUCAGCUUCAUAUGGCAAGUGCAGUACCAUGCCUUCACCAACAGCCCGAGAGAUGAACGGGUGCGCAGACGGCACAGUGCCCAACGCUUUGGCCUGAUACCUAAGUCACAAACGUUUGGAGACGAACCCAGAAGUCAGCUACGACGGCAAGUCCAUUGCUCAGCACCCAGGCCGACGGCAGCUUCACUCGCGCCGCCAGCCCGGUCAUCACCAUACGCUGCCGUCCAAAGUCCAGGGCAAACAUAGCAGCGAGACACACCACAUCCCACACACGUGGCGCAAGCCCCGCAGGCGGGCGCACUAACCACAACCCCUCACGAGAGAAGGCACUAAGAGCAUCCUCUGGCAUGUAACCCAUAGCCAUCCCCAUGCUUUCCCGCAGGGACAGCGCGACAGUGCAGUCCCAAAACCAGUGACGCUGGUCCCCAUCCUGCAUGUCAACCCACACGCCCAACACGGGUCAACAGCAACGCCGCGCGCACGCUCGCUAGCAUGCCGUGGAAAAGCCCAGCAAGCGUUGGCAGCCACACGCCACAGUGCUUCCUUAUGUUAAUGCUCCCAUUUCAGCGACCACAAGCGGGCCAAAGUGCACACGAAGGACCCGCCGCCAGGGCAGCCUCCACCCCCGACACACCCGCGUCGCACACAUAUUGCAAAUGCUUAGCCUUCAGGGCGGCUAACUGCUUCCCAUGCCCAGCACCCGGGCACUCCAAAGCACGCGGUCGUUGGUACCGUCACACGCAAUCGGCGUGUGUGUCCACCACCUCUCCCAUACAUCCACCUGCCUAAACCCUGUCCCUUUGCACUCCCAUACAUCCACGGUUCAGUCGAUGGCUUGCACACCCUAGACUUCGCAGCCACUCCUGCCAUCUGUACAUUCAUUCUACCCGAGCCCGCACGUCGCGGCCUAAGUGACGGCUAGAGUCCAAGUAACGCUCUAGCACGGCGGGAGUGCGCAGCUGCCCCAAGUCUAACAGUGAAGACGGUGGCAACCCCACCGCCUGCGCAUUCUGCAAUGAACCGCGCCGAAAGCUGUGCACGGUUUCGCCGCCGUACAGACCAGCUGCAACCAGGUGCAUGCGGAGCCGAGCACCCAUGGCAGAACUGCUCAGGGGAGUCUCCUUAAACCUCUUUCCAUCCGGGGCGAGAGGCCGGAACAGCAGGUCCGCCACUGCGCUACCAGGAGGCGCAUCGGCAGCAGAGCAAAGCGCCAUGUACAGCGCCAGUACGCGCGGUAUGCUGAGACGAGGCUCCGCCACAUCGGGCAUCAGGAAGAUCGGAGGUGCGCGCGCCAGCUUGUGAGUCUUGGUUCCGCGCUCGCAGAAGCACAGGAUGGGGCCGAGGUACGAGCCCCACUGCCGUGGCGGCAGCAGCGGGAAACCCUGGAAGGGCAGCGCCGUGUUGUCGGGGUUUACGAAGUCGCCGGUGCCCAGCUUGCCCAAGUCGUGCCCCCUCACAGCCGUCUGCCACAGCAGCAACACGCAUAAGUGGUCUCGCAGCGCUACAAGCCGCUCGAUUGCGGUGGCCGCCGCGCUGUACUGAGCCCACAGGUAGAAGGCCAGAGCGCGGUACUUGGCCUCCGUCAUGGGCACCGCAGAGACCUCCGCAUAACCCGCCUGCACCUGCUCCCGCUGGUAAGCAGUGCGCAGGUCCUCGAUGAUAGAAGACUCGCAAGGGUUGCCACGGCUAGUAGACGAGUUGUAGGGGCCUCCGCGGUCGAUGCGGUUGAAGAAGCCGCUCAGUGACGAUAGGUGAGAUUUCAGAGCGCUGGGACCGGCCGGCACGUCCGCCGAAGCGCGAGAAUGGUGGUUGGGAAGCCACCCCUUCAUGACGUAUGCCGCUAGGUCCUCGUCGGAACAGGUAGCGGGUGAGACGCCCGGCCGGUAGCGUUGGAGCCAGCCCCACAACUCCGCCGCGGCUUUGUUUUGCCUGGCGACAGUCGCAGAGGCCAAAGCUGACUGACGCAGCUCGUGCGCGGCCUCCAGCCCCGCCUGGUAAACGGCAUGCCGCUCGGUGGCAUCAGGUGUUGCACCGGGAUCAACCACCAGGGAAGCGACCUGCCCCAGCCGCAGCUGAGCCAGGUACCCCUGCAAGCACAUGGAAACGGGUCAGUAACCGACCGCAAGAACAGCUCGACCCCUAACCACUCACGCCGUAUUCCGCCAGUGGAGGCGCGUUGGGUAGGCUGGCCGUCGUUGCCCGGAUAAAAGGGCUUGUUCGAAAGCUUGAACUGUUGGGAAAGGCCGGUAGCCAGUUAUGCACCCUUAUGCAUCCGACUUCGAGCCACCCACCGGCGGGAAACCGACACUGAGAAAGUUGUGGGGAGUCAGAAGGUCGCUGCUCGAGGCGAGGUUUAAGUACCCGAGAGGCGGAUAACGAGCCCCGCUUAACGGUGUGACCUGCGCGACACACGAAGGUAGUGAUUGGGUGCGCGACGGAGGCACGGUGACACGGUUCGUGCCGAGAGAACUCACAGGUUUCGAUAGCUCGCUCGCCCGAGCUCGCAAUACCGAUAAUAAUAAACUGCCAUUCGGAUUUGCCUGUUACAGUGGUGAGCGCAUAUCGAGGCGAAAGGUGUUAAGUUGUUCGCCCAGUUGUUCGCCGUCAAUACUUGCUUCGCCUAUUUUGACUACUUGCUUAAACUCUUACCAUAGCAUUGCUCGCUCCGUAUCGGCUCGAACUGACCGCAACCGAGCUCCCACCCGUCCCGCCCUCUUCGCGAGAGGGUAUGCUGAACUGAAGCAUGCUGGGGCUGUUGGCGCGAGGAACGGUGAAGGCCACUCAAAGUUAGCUGAUACGGUGACGAGCAUUUGAGCUUCAGCACUGCAGCCAGGAACGAGCAAGGAGUGAUCGAUGGGAACGCAAUAACGGCGCGCAUCAAAUCGCAAGUUAUAGCAGACUUCUGGUCUAGGUUACAAUCGUAUGUGUGUCUCGGUGCCAAACCGAGGGGGUGGGACCGAGUCUCGCCAGGCCACCCUUGGAUUGAGCGAAGAGCAGAUGGAAGUAUGAAGCUGAACAGACAACGAAGUGUCAUAAUGGAAGAGGAGGUGGAGUGAUGGCACCUAGUAACAUGUUCGGUAUGGCGGGAGGAAGCCUACUAGAGCUAGAGUAGGCCGACGGCGCUGCAGGCGGCACGCCCCUGGGGGUCCAGAGCAGGGUGUUCGUUCUCCACGUCACUGGCUCGUGAACUGCGUCAGCAGGUCCCUCUUGUAACCAAUGCAAUCUAAGCUGACAAGCUAGGGUGAGGCCGGUGGCGAGUCCGCUGUUGGCCCUACCAAGAUAACCCCUCCAACAUCAUCUGACGCUAGGAAUGGGUGCUGGUUCGGGACAAGGUCCCAGCGGCCGACGCAGACUCACAAACGCAGCUAGCCGUGACCAGAAGUCCGCAAUCACCUCCACACCGAUCCUUCGCACAACAGCAGCCUCUGCAGUCCGGUCUGCAGCAUCACGGCAAGCGUAAAGGCGCUGUCGGCCGUAUUCCAGGGCCGCCACAGCAGCCAAGCACACGAUGUCCCACACCGUCUGCGAUAGCCCUGGUGGCGCCUGUACUAACCACAACUGGUUCCGUGUGAUGUCCACAUUCGCAUGCUCCCGCAUCACAUCACGCAGAGCCUCCGCCACCACACAGUCCCAGAAGUGAUGAACCCUAGCCCCAGCAGUCAUCUGAGCCCCACACGGGCAUUUCUCCACGCGUCCAUCUGCGGCCCACGCCGCAAGCAUCCCAAAGCCCGUGAACCCAUUGACUGCCAGACGCCAGAGCGGUUCCUUGUGUCGCGGCUCCCACACCAAAGCCCACAGCCGCGCCAGGGCCGCCCGCAGCGCAUGAAUCGCUUCCGCUGGCGGCGCGGCGCCGCUGUAGGCCUCUUGGAUGAAGGCCAAGUGACGCACGCGGAGCGCGUCGUACGCAGGCGCAAGUUGAAGCUGGGUUGCCUGCUUCACCGUAAGGGUCAGCAAGGGCACGUCAGCCGCGCCAUGCCGCCACCCCAGGCUCUGCGCAAGCAGCAGCCAUACCUGGGGGGCAGGAGGCGCGGAGGCCGCGCCGCCAGGCGCAUGCAAUGUGGCCGACGCCGCCACCCUCCACGCCGCCGGUACACGGGCCAACAGCGCGGAGAAUUGGGCAGCAGCAUCCGGGCCGGACUGCAGCGCCGGCGGCACGCGCGCCUUAGACUGCUUGACAACUGGGAUGCGUGUGAGGUGCGUAUCGCCCACGGCCGAUGGCGUUGUUGACUGAAUGAAUGACACAUACUUACCCGCAGCCACGAGAUCCACUGGAGCCUGGAGCUCGCGACGGCGUCCUGCAUUCGCAUUCACUAGCAAACACUUCGCAUCCACUCCGGCGUUCGACCACGGCAAAUUGUUUGCCAUGUGCUGGGGUCUGGGAAUCAGCUGCACCCUACGGAAAUUCACCAACCUGCCUUAACCCCAGCGGUGCUUAACUCGCACACCCGCAGCUACGACAUCCACUUUUACAGCCGUGCUGCAAUCCUGCCACCUGGUAAGUUACUACUGCAUGCUAAAUGGGGCAGUGACCCCGUGCCUACUUCUCCACAGUGCAUUGCCACAGACUUAUGCUCAUCUAGUCAUCUCCUGCUGGCGUAAUGCCCCCGAUGGACGCUAGUCUACUGCUGGUCCUAUGCCAACCCUGCUUACUCAUCUCGCAAAUGGCUAAAGACCUCCCUCCUACCGAGGUCAUCCGAUGCACCCACGCCUCCGUCACUGCAGUUCGCAGUGCUGUCCAGCGCACUGAGGGUCUAACUUCUGCACAACAUCCCAGCCGCCGCGCCUAGCUAUACGUGCGCUGCCGGCGGCCGCCCACCGACUUGCUCCCCGUGGCCACCGCAAACGGCAGUUGCCCGCCCGCGCCUGGCCCGCCCGCCGCCAGGCUACCUGCGCCCCCGCUGGGCAGCUUCCUCAGCGCCAGCAGCCAGGGCACGAACACGGCGCCCAGGCAGCACAGCGCCAGGAACACCACCAGGCUGUGCUGCCGCAUCACGGGGUCCACCUCGUGCUCACGGCGGCGCAGACGGGACUCGAACUCACCCAGGCGGCCCUCGCCCUCCUCGCCAGAGGACGCCCCGGGCUCGGAGCCCGCCGCCGGAGCGGCGGACGAGGCCGCAGCAGUGGCCGCGGCACCGGCGCCGUUGUCCUCAGCGGCGUCCUGUGUAGAGCGGGCGGCCGCGGCGUCAGCGAUGUGCUGGGGAGGCUGCUCGCCAGAGUGGCGCUUGUGCAGGUGCGCGUGCGCCGCAUGCACGUGCGCACGCGCGUGCGCGUGGCCCUGACCCCGGCCCGCCUCCACGCCCGGCUUCGCCCCCGCCUCCGCACCUGCGCCCUCCGCCUCCUCCUCCAUGCCCAUGAGCCGCCGGUGCUGCUGCAACCGGUGGCCCGCUUGCGCUGCGCCCGCGCCCGCCAGCACGGUGCCCGGGAGCGGGUGCGCCGAGGGCUUGGGGUUGGUGGGGUCGGCCACGUGGUCCAGCGUGUACAGCAGGAUGACCACCUUCGUUACGCCUUAGCAUCAAUACUAUAGUGAGCUAUGUUCACGCUAUAACGGCCGUUUAUAGCUAAACGCUAAACCCCGAAAUGAUGUUUCUGCGGAAGACGUCCAGCAUUCGCUUUAGUUUACCCCGAUGAAUUGUGCACAUGUUAUAGGUUGUGUUCAUUGGUGUGGGCAUAGACUGUGACGAGAAGGGGCCGGGGCACCCGAGAUGGCCGAAGCGAACCAGUGGUUCGUCCGGCUCGCUGGCCGCUUCUGGGCGCCUCAAAGGACGGGCUUGACUAUUCCUGCUGUUUUCUAUAUCCUAUGCCCGUGGAACCAGGAAAUGGUGCUAGAGAGACGACAGUUGCUUGUUGAUUUGCUGUAUGGCUUCAGCUUCCAGCAGACAAACAGCAGUUUAAGAAGAACAACCUACACGCUUAUAUGAUUGUGAAACAGAUUAAGACGAAAAGAGGUUUGGCGGGUUCGCCAUGUCAGGCCGUGUCGACCGACACACCCCCAGCGUGUUCCCCGCCCAGAGCUUUUCUUCCUAUGGGUUUGGCUUUUCUCCAAACAGCUUUCCAAGUCAGGAAACGUGAUGUGUACACGGGUUGGCUCGCGUCUGCUGGAUGUCUGUGCUGGGGUUGGCCCAGGGAUGUGGGAUGAGCCGGCGACCAAUGCGUCGAUGGCUGGGUCGCGUCGGCCCGGAACUGUUGGAUGGCCGGGCGGGCACUGUCGCAUACCCCGGUCGGGUCGCCCCCAGGUAUGCAGGUUAUGUGGCCGGGCUAUGCUGGAUGCCCGCGCCGGCUGGAUGCGUCUCCGACCCCGAUGCCCUGGAUGGCUCGCCCAGACAUCCCUCCCACCCUCCUGGUACGUGGAUAGCACGUUUGCAUAAUACGUAUAUGAUACAUAUAAAACGCCACGGGGAAACGCAUGGGGUGUCGCAUGGCAUGAGGGUGGCCGUGCCGCGGGGAUGGGCCUGAAUGGGGGUGGCCGUGCCGCAGGGAUGAACCCGAAUUGGUAUUGCGGGUCCCCUGAUGCGCACGCAUUGCACGUGCCUCAACUGAAACCUGUAAGUUUCCAUCGCGACGAGGUGACACACGCGUGCCGGUGCCCGUAAAAGAGGCUUUGCAGGACUUGAAUAUUGUUGGUGCCAGUCUGUGAGACCUUAUCAUUAUCAUAAUGUUUUCACGGGCGUUUCGCUCUGUUGUCGCAACCAGUGAGGAAUGCAGCUGUGCCUCCUUACUUGCAUGGAUGUAUUUGGCUGCUAGAUAAUGUGCUGGGGAAACCAGCGGGGUGGGCCGUGGCGGGCGAGGGGUGCGAGGGCUGCUGGAAAGGAUGUCCGUCGAAGUUCGCGAACCAGGGCUGUUCUCCACACCGCAGCUGUGUUUUCUUACAACAAUAUGAGUGUAAUAAGUUGAAGGAAAUAAGGCCGCGCAAAUCCAAGUUUACAUCGAUUCGGGCAUGGUGCGGGCAUGCGUGUCGUGGGCGCCCGCGGAUGCCUGGCUCCGUUCCAGGUGGGUGCAUUUUGUGGGUUUCGCGUUGUCGCGGCGAAUGGCAGCAGCCUAGUUGCGAGCUGGAACGCGUCCGCCCCUGCAAGCGGCAGCAGUCUCCACGACACUCGGACUCCGUUUGGCGUGCCGAAUGCGGAGCAGCGUGGAGCGCGCACCGGUGUCUCGUCUCGAAGGUAACAAGUAACCGCAUUGCCGCUGACACUAACUUCUUUCGUGAUGUUUAUUGCUAGCCUGGAGCUCGCGACGGCGUCUUGCAUUCGCAUUCACUCGCAAGCACUUCGUUGUC
rnacentral:lncRNA from 1 species